ACCAAAAGCGGAAGGUAAACUUCAUAAAAGCCUGACCUGACGGCCUUCACAGCUGGAGCAUGUUGGGAAUCACUCCUGGCACCGAAAAGGUUAAUUGUCUCCUGCUGUGAGGUCUGAUGAUUUGGUCCACUCCCCAGGAGAAGCAGCCAUUGUUUCUCAACGCUUGUUGCAUGUACUUUUUGCAGCUGUCCUCACUGCAUCUCAUGGUAUCUACAUCCUACUGAGACCUGCAAAUGUCAUUUAAGAAACAAUCACUGAAAUUAAGACCACGAGAGUAUUUAUUGCUCUAAAAAAAAAAAAAAAAAAAAAAGCUGUUUGCUGGAGAACUUGUUUGCGUUCACUCGGGCUGAGCACAUUGCUUAAAUGGAGCUAAAGAGAUGAUGUUUCUAUAAAGUUGUGGAGGCUCAAUUCAUUCUAAUGGCCUGAAACAUGAAUUAUGUGCCCUGCUUCACUACCUUCAUGGAUCAGUAAGCUGCUAUAGCUCAGAUGGAAGCAUUUAUCUGAGGAGAGAAAGGCGUUAUUCCCCACUUACUGCUGAUUUCCUGCUGUUUGUGUCUAUAUAGGUGUUCACGUGUGUUGCUUUCCAGAUAUCAGGUGUUAAGCUUCAUAGGUCUCUCUGACCAGUUCCCUUUGUUUUCUAGAGUAUAUUUGAGAAGACUGUCACCCAGUAAUUCUUUUCUGUUUUCAAUAUCGAGUUUUAUGGUUGGGCUAUUCAUGUGGGUGCAAAGCUGUGCCUCGAAGCUUUGAAAUCCGUUAUGUGGAUUCACUCUGAUGAUAACCAAAUGGGAAAAAUAUUUCGGUGUCCACUUAUAAGAGCACAAAUGCAACCAUAUUUUUUUUUCCCCCUAACUGCUGUAUAAAAGUUUUAAAUUUUCAAAACGGGAGCAUGACAUUUAAGCACCCAAAUCAGUGCUUUGAUGUUUAAAUGGAUUUGGCCAUUUAUUUUUCCAGUAUGCUGGGAGUUGCACUGGAGGUCAGUGCGGCAGGCUUGCCCAAGCAUGGUCCAUUACCCUCUGCAGCAGCAGCAGGCAUGGAACAAAGGGACCCCUUCAUUAUCACGCACAAGGAAAACCCUGGCAGAGGCUGAAAGAAGAAUAACAGAACUGACCUCAAAUGGGGACUUUGCUGUUGGCCUGAUGUGUGGCUCAUCGUGGAAAGGACAAGAAAUGUUCCUGCUGCCCUUCACGUAUUACCACUCCCACAUGCUGCAAGCUCAGUGUUGGUGGUGAAAAGUACUCAAGUAGGAGAAAAACACAGAUUAACCAAUAAAUAAGCACACAAUUGACUGCA
rnacentral:lncRNA from 1 species